AGUGAACGCUGGCGGUAGGCCUAACACAUGCAAGUCGAACGGCAGCACAGUAAGAGCUUGCUCUUACGGGUGGCGAGUGGCGGACGGGUGAGGAAUACAUCGGAAUCUACUUUUUCGUGGGGGAUAACGUAGGGAAACUUACGCUAAUACCGCAUACGACCCUCGGGUGAAAGCAGGGGAUCUUCGGACCUUGCGCGAUUGAAUGAGCCGAUGUCGGAUUAGCUAGUUGGCGGGGUAAAGGCCCACCAAGGCGACGAUCCGUAGCUGGUCUGAGAGGAUGAUCAGCCACACUGGAACUGAGACACGGUCCAGACUCCUACGGGAGGCAGCAGUGGGGAAUAUUGGACAAAGGGCGCAAGCCUGAUCCAGCCAUACCGCGUGGGUGAAGAAGGCCUUCGGGUUGUAAAGCCCUUUUGUUGGGAAAGAAAAGCAGCAGGUUAAUACCCCGCUGUUCUGACGGUACCCAAAGAAUAAGCACCGGCUAACUUCGUG
rnacentral:rRNA from 1 species